rnacentral:rRNA from 1 species
CCGGCCACACUGGGACUGAGAUACGGCCCAGACUCCUACGGGAGGCAGCAGUAGGGAAUAUUGCGCAAUGGGCGAAAGCCUGACACAGCGACGCCGCGUGGAUGAUGAGGCUUUUCGGAGUGUAAAAUCCUUUCAGCGGGGACGAAACGGUUCUUCGGAGCCCUGACGGUACCCGCAGAAGAAGCACCGGCUAACUCCGUGCCAGCAGCCGCGGUAAUACGGAGGGUGCAAGCGUUGUUCGGAUUUACUGGGCGUAAAGGGUGCGUAGGCGGAUUGGCAGGUCGGAUGUGAAAACCCCACGGCUUAACCGGGGGCGUGCAUUCGAAACCGCUGAUCUUGAGUACGGGAGAGGAAAGCGGAAUUCCUGGUGUAGCGGUGAAAUGCGUAGAUAUCAGGAAGAACACCGGUGGCGAAGGCGGCUUCCUGGCCCGAUACUGACGCUCAGGCACGAAGGCUAGGGGAGCAAACAGGAUUAGAUACCCUGGUAGUCCUAGCGGUAAACGAUGGGCACUAGGUGUUGGGGGUAUCGACCCCCUCAGUGCCGCAGCUAACGCAAUAAGUGCCCCGCCUGGGGAGUACGGUCGCAAGAUUGAAACUCAAAGGAAUUGACGGGGGCCCGCACAAGCGGUGGAGUAUGUGGUUCAAUUCGACUCAACGCGAAGAACCUUACCUGGGUUUGACAUGCACGGGACCGCCUGUGAAAGCAGGUUUUCUCUUCGGAGACCCGUGUGCAGGUGCUGCAUGGCUGUCGUCAGCUCGUGCCGUGAGGUGUUGGGUUAAGUCCCGCAACGAGCGCAACCUCUGUCCCUAGUUGCCAUCAGGUUAAGCUGGGAACUCUAGGGAGACUGCCCCGGUCAACGGGGAGGAAGGUGGAGAUGACGUCAAGUCCUCAUGGUCCUUACGUCCAGGGCUACACACGUACUACAAUGGCCGGUACAGCAGGUCGCAAUACCGCAAGGUGGAGCUAAUCCCCAAAGCCGGCCUCAGUUCGGAUUGGAGUCUGCAACUCGACUCCAUGAAGUCGGAAUCGCUAUUAAUCGCGGAUCAGCAAGCCGCGGUGAAUACGUUCCCGGGCCUUGUACACACCGCCCGUCAAGCCAUGGGAGUUGGGGGUACCCGAAGUCACCUGUCUAACCUUAGGGAAGCAGGUGCCGAAGGUAAAACCAAUGACUGGGGCUAAGUCGUAACAAGGUAGCCGUAGCGGAAGCUGCGGCUG